rnacentral:rRNA from 1 species
UACGAAGGGGGCUAGCGUUGCUCGGAAUCACUGGGCGUAAAGGGCGCGUAGGCGGUGCGGUAAGUCACCUGUGAAACCUCUAGGCUCAACCUAGAGCCUGCAGGCGAAACUGCCGUGCUUGAGGGUGGGAGAGGUGCGUGGAAUUCCCGGUGUAGCGGUGAAAUGCGUAGAUAUCUGGAGGAAUACCGGUGGCGAAGGCGGCAUCCUGGACCGGCAUUGACGCUGAGUGAGCGAAAGCCAGGGGAGCAAACGGG